GGUCUCACAACUUAAGUGGCACAGUAAAUAUUAUUUUAAAAUGCCCCAUUGCAGUAGAGAGAGAGAGAGAGAAAAGUUCUCCUCAGGAUGUCAGGUUGGCCUUACAGUGGCCACUCUUUCCUUGAGGGGUCCAACAGCA
rfam:Otolemur garnettii contig127030, whole genome shotgun sequence.